UGCACACCACAUUCUGGCCUCAAGAGAAUUAUUUAUUAUCGGAUUCCAGCACACAAUGUCUUCAGGGAACAUCAUCAGGAUCAUGAAGGAAUGUGUUCAGCAAAUGCUUCCUUUAUGCAGUUUCACCUGCAGAGACUCAACGGGUCUCACAGCAUGAGAAGUAAGGUCUGAAGAUAUCUACAAGUUACCUGACUGUGAAAAUCAGGCUGCACAUUUGAACAACAUCUUUUUUUUUUUUUUAAUAGUGGGAAAAGUUUUUUUCAUAAAUUUACCCAGCCGGGCUCAGUGGCUCACACCUGUAAUCCCGGCACUUUGGG
rnacentral:lncRNA from 10 species